GCAGCCUGAUCCAGCCAUGCCGCGUGUGUGAAGAAGGCCUUCGGGUUGUAAAGCACUUUUGUCCGGAAAGAAAAGCAUUCGGUUAAUAACCGGGUGUCCUGACGGUACCGGAAGAAUAAGCACCGGCUAACUUCGUGCCAGCAGCCGCGGUAAUACGAAGGGUGCAAGCGUUACUCGGAAUUACUGGGCGUAAAGCGUGCGUAGGUGGUUCGUUAAGUCUGAUGUGAAAGCCCUGGGCUCAACCUGGGAAUGGCAUUGGAUACUGGCGACCUAGAGUGCGGUAGAGGGGUGUGGAAUUCCCGGUGUAGCAGUGAAAUGCGUAGAUAUCGGGAGGAACAUCUGUGGCGAAGGCGACACCCUGGACCAGCACUGACACUGAGGCACGAAAGCGUGGGGAGCAAACAGGAUUAGAUACCCUGGUAGUCCACGCCCUAAACGAUGCGAACUGGAUGUUGGGUGCAACUUGGCACUCAGUAUCGAAGCUAACGCGUUAAGUUCGCCGCCUGGGAAGUACGGUCGCAAGACUGAAACUCAAAGGAAUUGACGGGGGCCCGCACAAGCGGUGGAGUAUGUGGUUUAAUUCGAUGCAACGCGAAGAACCUUACCUGGCCUUGACAUGUCUGGAAUCCCUGAGA
rnacentral:rRNA from 1 species